UACGAAGGGGGCUAGCGUUGCUCGGAAUCACUGGGCGUAGAGCGCACGUAGGCGGCUUUUUAAGUCAGGGGUGAAAUCCUGGAGCUCAACUCCAGAACUGCCUUUGAUACUGGGAAGCUCGAGUCCGGGAGAGGUGAGUGGAACUCCGAGUGUAGAGGUGAAAUUCGUAGAUAUUCGGAAGAACACCAGUGGCGAAGGCGGCUCACUGGCCCGGUACUGACGCUGAGGUGCGAAAGCGUGGGGAGCAAACAGG
rnacentral:rRNA from 1 species